GUGGUCGGAGAAGGGCCCCAGAGACUCCGCGCGCCCCUCGAAGCCCGGGCCUGUUUCCUGGAAGUCUUUAGCAAUCACAUUUGCUAUUGGAGGAGCUUUACUGGCUGGAAUGAAGUACAUGAAGAAAGAAAAGGCAGAGAAGUUAGAGAAGGAACGGCAGCGACAGAUCGGCAAGCCUUUACUUGGGGGACCAUUUUCCCUCACAACUCAUACUGGGGAGCAUAAAACUGACAAGGACUACUUGGGUCAGUGGUUAUUGAUUUAUUUUGGCUUCACUCAUUGCCCUGAUGUCUGUCCAGAAGAACUAGAAAAGAUGAUUCAAGUCGUGGAUGAAAUAGAUAGCAUUACAACUCUGCCAGAUCUAACUCCACUUUUCAUCAGCAUUGACCCAGAGAGGGACACAAAAGAAGCCAUCGCAAAGUAUGUGAAAGAAUUUUCUCCCAAACUGGUUGGCUUGACUGGCACAAGAGAAGAAGUCGAUCAGGUGGCCAGAGCAUACCGAGUGUAUUACAGCCCUGGCCCCAAGGACGAAGAUGAAGACUACAUAGUGGAUCACACAAUAAUAAUGUACUUGGUUGGACCAGAUGGUGAAUUCCUAGAUUAUUUUGGCCAGAAUAAGAGGAAGGGAGAAAUAGCUGCUUCAAUUGUCGCACACAUGAGGCCAUACAGGAAAAAGAGCUAGCCAAAGCAGUGUUGCUGGAUGCAGUAUUGUCUUGCUAAGAGGAAGGAAACUUUGUCUCGCAUAGGAGCUUAUAUAAAUAUAAACAUAUAUACAUUGCAGUCUACAGAAUGGCCUUCAUAUCAUGAGAACAUUUCUGUUUUGGAUGGGGAUGUUACCCUUGCGUUCAACCAAAAUUGAUUCUUGGAACUGUAAAGUUUACAACCCAAAGUCAGAGGACCAAGUUAAAGUGAAGCCAGUAAAGAACCCACCUGCGGAAAGGACAUGGCGGGGCGAGGCACAGCCAGUGCGUUUCUGCCUGCAAACAGUGCCUCUCCAUUGUCUUGGACCCUUGCUCAAAUAGCUGUGGGACUGAAUUUCACGGAAAAGAAUAUAAUUUCCAUAGUGCUCUUGCUUGCCUCUUCUUGAGUUCUUUGCUCUUCUGAGUUCUUGGUGGCUAAUAACAGUCAGAUUAGGGUGUCAGCCAUUCAGAGUUGAUACUUGAAAGCUUUAGUUUUCCUUAUUAAUGAAUAUCACUAUCAGAUUUGACUAAUGAAGAGGAAGUCUAUCGUUUGGGG